rnacentral:rRNA from 1 species
GUGGAUUAGAUACCCUGGUAGUCCACGCCGUAAACGAUGAUAACUAGCUGUCCGGGUGCAUGGCACUUGGGUGGCGCAGCUAACGCAUUAAGUUAUCCGCCUGGGGAGUACGGUCGCAAGAUUAAAACUCAAAGGAAUUGACGGGGGCCUGCACAAGCGGUGGAGCAUGUGGUUUAAUUCGAAGCAACGCGCAGAACCUUACCAGCGUUUGACAUCCUCAUCGCGAUUGCCAGAGAUGGCUUUCUUCAGUUCGGCUGGAUGAGUGACAGGUGCUGCACGGCCGUCGUCAACU